rnacentral:misc_RNA from 1 species
UUGCUUUUGCUGCAUAUCUUGGUAGCGAAGCAUUUGAUGGAUUUUGUGGACAAGGAAAAUCGAGGAUGACAUUCAAAGACUGGCUGCACCAGAGGCCAGAGGUUCAAGCAAUGAAGUGGUCAAUCAGAUUACGGCCUGGGAGAUUCUUUACCAUCCCUGAGGAACUAAGAGCUCCACAUGAGUCACAACAUGGAGAUGCUGUUAUGGAAGCUAUUGUGAAAGAUCGGAAUGGCUCUGUUCUUGGUAAAGGGUCUAUUCUCAAGAUGUACUUCUUUCCUGGCCAAAGAACUUCCAGUCACAUACAAA